UACGUAGGGUGCAAGCGUUGUCCGGAAUUACUGGGCGUAAAGAGUUCGUAGGCGGUUUGUCGCGUCGUUUGUGAAAACCAGCAGCUCAACUGCUGGCUUGCAGGCGAUACGGGCAGACUUGAGUACUGCAGGGGAGACUGGAAUUCCUGGUGUAGCGGUGAAAUGCGCAGAUAUCGGGAGGAACACCAGAGGCGAAGGCGGGUUACUGGGCUGAUACUGACGCUGAUGCGCGAAAGCCAGGGGGGCAAACGGG
rnacentral:rRNA from 1 species